rnacentral:rRNA from 1 species
GUGGGGAAUAUUGGACAAUGGGCGAAAGCCUGAUCCAGCCAUGCCGCGUGUGUGAAGAAGGUCUUCGGAUUGUAAAGCACUUUAAGUUGGGAGGAAGGGCAGUAAGUUAAUACCUUGCUGUUUUGACGUUACCGACAGAAUAAGCACCGGCUAACUUCGUGCCAGCAGCCGCGGUAAUACGAAGGGUGCAAGCGUUAAUCGGAAUUACUGGGCGUAAAGCGCGCGUAGGUGGUUUUGUAAGUUGGAGGUGAAAUCCCCGGGCUCAACCUGGGAACUGCCUCCAAAACUGCAUGACUAGAGUACGGUAGAGGGUAGUGGAAUGUCCUGUGUAGCGGUGAAAUGCGUAGAUAUAGGAAGGAACACCAGUGGCGAAGGCGACUACCUGGACUGAUACUGACACUGAGGUGCGAAAGCGUGGGGAGCAAACAGGAUUAGAUACCCCUGUAGUCC